rnacentral:rRNA from 1 species
UACGGGGGGUGCAAGCGUUGUCCGGAAUCACUGGGCGUAAAGGGUGGGUAGGCGGACCGGUAAGUCCGGAGUGCAAUCUGUCUGCUUAACGGACAAUCCGCUUUGGAUACUGUCGGUCUUGAGUCACACAGAGGAAGGUGGAAUUCCUGGUGUAGCGGUGAAAUGUGUAGAUAUCAGGAAGAACACCGGUAGCGAAGGCGGCCUUCUGGGUGUCGACUGACGCUGAGCCACGAAAGUGUGGGGAGCAAACAGGAUUAGAUACCCUGGUAGUCCACACUGUAAACGAUGAACACUAGGUGUUGGAGGGUUAGACCCUUCAGUGCCGCAGCUAACGCAUUAAGUGCUCCGCCUGGGGAGUACGAUCGCAAGGUUGAA